AUUGAACGCUGGCGGCAGGCCUAACACAUGCAAGUCGAGCGGAGGGGCGGACGGGGGAGUAAUGCCUAUGAAUCUGACUGGUGGUGGGGGAUAACGUUCGGAAACGGGCGCUAAUACCGCAUACUAACAGAUGAGCCUAGGUCGGAUUAGAUUGUUGGAGGGGUAAAGGACUACCAAGGCGACGAUCCGUAACUGGGCUGAGAGGAUGAUCAGCCACACUGGAACUGAGACACGGCCCAGACUCCUACGGGAGGCAGCAGUGGGGAAUAUUGGACAAUGGGCGAAAGCCUGAUCCAGCCAUGCCGCGUGUGUGAAGAAGGUCUUCGGAUUGUAAAGCUCUUUUAGUUGGGAGGCGUUACCUACAGAAUAAGCACCGGCUAACUUCGUGCCAGCAGCCGCGGUAAUUC
rnacentral:rRNA from 1 species